AUUGAACGCUGGCGGCAGGCCUAACACAUGCAAGUCGAACGAGUGGCGGACGGGUGAGAAAUGUCUGGGAAACUGCCUGAUGGAGGGGGAAAAAUAAGGGAAACGGUAGCUAAAACCGCAUACCAACGGAGGAGGCCAGAUGGGAUUAGCAAGGAGGUGGGGUAAAGGCUAACCUAGGCGACGAUCCCUAGCUGGUCUGAGAGGAUGACCAGCCACUCUGGAACUGAGACACGGUCCAGACUCCUACGUGAGGCAGCAGUGGGGAAUAUUGCACAAUGGGCUCAAGCCUGAUGCAGCCAUGCCGCGUGUAUGAAGAAGGCCUUCGGGUUGUAAAGUACUUUCAGCGUGGAGGCGUUACCCGCAGAAGAAGCACCGGCUAACUCCGUGCCAGCAGCCGCGGUAAUUC
rnacentral:rRNA from 1 species